rnacentral:rRNA from 1 species
UACGGAGGAUCCAAGCGUUAUCCGGAUUUAUUGGGUUUAAAGGGUGCGUAGGCGGCCUGUUAAGUCAGGGGUGAAAGACGGUAGCUCAACUAUCGCAGUGCCCUUGAUACUGAUGGGCUUGAAUUGACUAGAGGUAGGCGGAAUGUGACAAGUAGCGGUGAAAUGCAUAGAUAUGUCACAGAACACCGAUUGCGAAGGCAGCUUACUAUGGUCUUAUUGACGCUGAGGCACGAAAGCGUGGGGAGCAAACAGG